GCGCGGAGCGGUGCGGGCUGCCGGCGGUGCAGGCCGUCGCUGCCGGGGAGCCGGCAGGCAUCGCCCCGAAGGCUGUGAGCGCUGACAGGUGAGGAGGAGCAGCUUAGGCAGAAGGAGAAAUCCUCCGGACUUACAGGAGGCAGAACUAGCACUACUCAAAUGGACACCACACCGAAAAUAUGUUAUCUCUUUAAUUGCACAAAUAUUCCAUUAAGUUAAAGAAGGUGGCCUAAAGCACUGAAAUUUGCCAUUCAACAGCUCAUCAAAGGCUUUGAAACACUUUAUAAAGAAUCAUAAUUUCUGACUGAAGAUUUCUGCAGAGAGAUGUAGAGGGUCACAUUCUUAGCUGGUAUAAAAAUGAGGUCUGAGCAUCCUCCAGUAAUGAACUGACCAACACGAUCCAUGCGUUUUCUACUUGCCAGAAUAACGGUGGUACCAAAUCAUGGUCCGUAUAGUCUAUCCAGAAAAACAGAAGCAGAGCCUUGAGAGGUCAAAAUACAUAUGGCUUUACCAAAAUCACAGAGUUUACAUCGACUGAAGGCCUGACCUGCCAUCAACAGCACAGUGCAGCUUAUACUGCUUUGGGAGGGAAGGGAAACAGCAACAAUUUAAAAAUCCUUGUUCCCCUGUGGUCAGAAAUGGUAUGCUGGAUUCGUACUAGUAUGCAACCACAUUUAAACAUAGCUGUGGCUGGCAUAGCCUGAAUUCUAAUGUGGACAGCACCUAAUUUAGGAAAGACGCGGGAGAAGCUGAAUGUAAAUGCGCAUAGGGGAAUAUAAAUGACUGGCACCAGUGUCACUUUCACUUUGUUAUUAAAAGCAGUCUCGGUGCUUUGGAAGCAAACAGGCAUCAGAGAAGUGGAACUGGCUGCUGCUUUUAGCACAAGGACAGGGACCCUCUAAUUUUAACUCUUCAUGAAUGUAGCAUAUGAGCAAGAUAGAUACACUGAUGGAAGCAGGGAAGGAAUCUGGCCAUCCUCGGAAUACAGGCAGCUCCAGCUGAGAUCGCAUCAUGUUCUGGUUUGGAGGCCCUCACUUAGGUUUUAUGCCACACCAGUUCCUAGACAAAAGCCAAUUUCUUCCUUAUGAGAAUUAGUUUUUUCCACUGGGAGCAAAGCUAUUAAAUGACUGCAGAAGACAGUGUAGGUGAGGGUCACUUCUCAGCUGUAAGUUAAAGGUCAUUGUCAUCUACUAGAAGGCAGGAGACUUUGGCAGCUGUGUGUUUUUGCCGUCAUAGUAUCUCACAGGGAAACGUUUUCUCUGCCAUGGCAAGUUGCCUGAACCAUUUGGUCAGUUGUAGGCUGCUUAGCUCGUUGCCUAAACCAAGGACGGCGAACCAAGGUGCUGCGGCUCUGCGGAACGGAGGCGAACGUCCGUCCUGUGCCCCGAACACCCUCCCGCCACAGAGGGAGACGAGCCCCAGGCAGGGGAAUGCACUGCUGAGCUGUCACAUUCACUGCAGAGAGGCUGAUCCAGCUGGAACUGACAGAUCAACGUUAAGCUCAGGUGAUUAAAAAGGCAGGGGUUACACCACUGUAUUGCCUUCACUUGCCGCGGAUGUUUUCCAGUGUAGACGAACACCCUGUUGCAUUCAUUUCUACAUAAAAUAAUACCAUUUGCUUUGUAAAUUAGGACUGCAUAGCUCUUAGCACAAUGUGCUGCUAUCUGCCUAUGUCGUUUUUAGCAGGGUGUUAAUAAAUAUACAGGUUGGCCUUGUCACUGCUUCUGAAAUAAAUUAAGGUUUCUUUUGUCAAAGCUUUUAAUAGACUUUUGGAUUGGAAAAGUGCCGAGAUGGUCACAGGAUCGCAUGACUCAGAGGGCUACUAGAUUUAAAAGUGCUUUAAAAGUUUAAAACAAUAAAAAUAGCUCUACUGUGUCAUUUUUAAUAGAUAUAAAUGUGCGUUACACAAUUCAGACCCAGAAACUCCUUUCAGUAAUGAACAAAGAUCAUCAUCAUAGCUGACAUUUCUGAAAUGUUUGAGAAGUAAGUUCAAGGUCAUGUUUGAAUGCAAACAUGCUACACAUAGUAAUUAUCAUGAGUUUGUUAUAUUUACUGUAACAAAGUAUUCAGAGAGUCAUGCAUCAAGUAAACUAAUGGUCUAUUAUUGAGCAAAGUUUAACAUCAAGCAAUGUGCUAUGAAUUUUAAAACAUUUUUCAAUGUCAGACACAGAAAUUGUAAUGAGAAAAGUAUCUUGAUUAUGAAAGAUUUGCGAAAGGGGAGAAGAAGGGGAGAGGGGAAGGAGAGUAGAGGGAAAGGUUUUAAAAAAAAAAAAAAACAACAAAACAACCUUUUCCGAAAGCAUAGUAUUUAGAUCCUGUUGCGUAGCUAACCGGAUGGGAACUAUAGAAAUCUUUCAAAUCGUGUUAUGAAUAUUACUAUCUUAAACUUCCCAGGCAGGUGAAACUCUCUCCUGUUCAUUUCCAAGCUUGUACAUUUUGACCCACUGUCAGACUGAAACUGCAUGGCUGAAAGUGCUCUUGGCCUCUCCAGGAGACCUCUGUGAGUAAUGCACAGGUCUCAUCUCCUGACACAAGAUCCCUUCGCUGGAGGCAGUUUCAGUAUUAAUCAGUCUGUAGUCGCUAUGGGCUACAACCUGCUAACAAAAACCUUGGACUUCUCACUGAUUCAUUGUAGUCAGUGCUCUUAUUUAACAGGGUUUUAAUUUAAGCGACGUAAUUGCCUCCAAGAUUGUUUUUAAGCAAAAGUUUUUGGGCCAAAGAUGUUUAUUGAUCCCAUGGUCUUUUCCUACUACUUGUUUCAUAUUUGCACUGUGCUAAAAUUUUGGCUUGCCUUUCUUUUAAAAACCCUGGCAAGACAUUAUUGAUUUCACACGGGGGACAAAUCCUGGAGAAUUGUCCAGGAAGACACAUUAAUAUCUGUGCUGGGGACGGCAGCCAGACCUGCAGACAAAGUGAAUGGGAGUUGGGUUCAGGGACACGUUUGUUCAAGACAUCUCUAGAAGCAAGGCAGUCACAUGGCCUUCAUCACUCUUUUGUGAUGUGGCCCUACCACAGGAAGAUCCCAGGGGUGAAUUUCACUCAAAAAGUGGAAAUCAAGUUAAGUGCUUAGCCAAAAUGGCAUUGCUGUGGUUAUUAGAGAUAAGGGAGAGGGUUAAGAUUCCGAUCUGAAGGCCUAGACCACACCAUAAGAAUUAGGGAAAUGAUUUAGCUGGCUCUACAAAUUGAGCUCAGCAGGGAAGUGCAAAUACAGCAGUGGGAUCCAGUAGCUCCAUGAAGGAGUUAGACAAAAUGUUAAUUCCCAGCAAAUAAUCUUGAAAGGUGUAUUUCAGCAAAGCAUUUCACCACUGUUUAGAUAUUUCACUUGGGCAGGCACAGGCUGCUAAGAGGUGUCCUCCAGAAAUCACAGAAAAAGAUACUAACCUCCAAAUAAAGGGAGAACUAGAUUUGCUACCCAAGAGAUGCAGUUAGUAUUUGAUGCAAUUCAUAUUUUUGCACCCAAUGAAUGCCCAUCUAACGAAAGGAUUUAUUUCUGGGUCGGUACCAUCUUCAUUAUUUCCAAAGCCCUGGGAAUGACCAUUACAGUCAUUGUAACAGUCCUUGCCUUCUUCCUGUGACAGUUUUCAUUGGCAGAUCUCAACAUGCUUUACAAAAGAAGUCAAAAUCAUUAACCCCAUCUUACAAACAGGAUAAAUAAGGCACAAGAGGAAGGGAGGGGGCAAGAUCUCUCCUGAGGUCAGACAAGGACUCAGACACAAGCAGGCACAGUCCCAGGCCAGCGAUCAGCUGUGUAGGUUCCUAAGCUAGCCCCUCUGCUCAUCUGCUUUGGGCCUUUGGUGGUUUUUUUUAAAAGGUCUAUACGCACAAAUGUGGGACUGAUAGAGAACUGGUCGCUAGCUGGUGGAGUCCAGGAUGGAUCAUCUACGUUGUUUCACUAUUGUCAAUGUGCAACGAUUUUUUGUUCCCCACCCAAAAUUACUUAGCAAACACUUUUUAAUAACGCUAGAAGUACCUGUGUCUAUUUAAAAGCAUUUCCUUCUGCAAAGCUACUCCCAAGCAUAGUGGCAUAUAUUAUUUUUUUAAAACAGAGCAUUGAAGUUAGUGGUCGUGACUGGAAUUUAUCUGUAAAGAUACUGCAAUACUUGGAGGUGUUGGGGAAAGCCUUUUUAAAGUUGCAGUUCCUGGAGCCAUGGGAAAAGAACAGGAUGUCCAUUUCUUUUUUUAAAAAGCAAAUUCUAGCCCUAGUUUAUGAAAUAAAACUGGAAAAUGUGAACUUGGGAGCUCUGAAAAUAGGAAUGAAUUGAAAGACUCCAAUACACGUGCACUUUUGCUCAUUUACUUACUUUUUUGUGACUUCCUGUUUCAGGAAACCUUGUUCAUAAUUUUUGAUGACUCAGGACUAGUGACUGUAUAGAUCCAGGGAGGAGUUUUUUUGCUCUGGCCUUCAAAUUUCUUAUGGGACACUCAUGGAGGGUCAUGGAUCUGGUAGCUAAAAACAUGCUGGGGACAGAUUUCCUGGGGACAACAUGUUUAUGGUGACUGAAAGGGCUUUGGGUUUGAAACGUGCAGGCCUUUCAUUAGCUUAUGUCCAGAUUUCUGUGUCUAACUCUGGUAACAAACCUGCCAAACAGCUCUGAGAGAUAAAGCAAGAGGGCAGGGAGGGAGCUGGGGUACAAGGCAAUGCACUAUCGGGUGCACGUCUCGGUUUUGAACAGUUAGUCACAGAUCUCUGAGAGACAGAAGGCUAAAAUCUAAGCAAGGAUACAACUCUUUUGCAAACCAGUGGCCUAACUGUUAAUUCUUAAAUAUAAUCACCAGUACCAUGCCUCUGGAGAGCUGUUUCUCUCGUCCCUCACACACAGCAAGGAGCAUAUCAAUAAGCUCUUCAGAGGAGAUGGAUGGAUAGCUUAAUUCACUUUGCAAAUCUAUGGAAGCAACACUUUAGCACUUUGGCACAAACUGUCUCUGACAUUGAAAAUUAGUAAAGAAAAGAAGUGGUGAAAAUGUCAGGAGCGGGAGGACUUCAUUUUUCUCUUGUUUAAAAUGUCAUCUGUUAUCUGCAAUCAAUGCAAGGAGACAACUUCCCAUACCAUAAUGAUUUACAGUAUGUUUAUAGGCACGGAUAGAAGUAAUCACAGGGUUAGGCGAAUGUUUCUUGGUGAAUUCUUCAAGUGUCAGAAGUGCUUAGUUCUGCAGUUCUCUCUUCCCAAGAAUGCAGAGGAGAUCGGCACGGAGAGCUACGCGAUUUCUGCAUCUCCAUACACAAACCCAUAAAAUCCACAGCCUAUCUGGUCUCAGCUAUGUACAAACAUAUCCCAUGACCAGAUGCCUACGACUUUUAAAAAAAUGUUGCCUUUACCACUGAAGAAAAGGCAAUAAAUAUUUUUCACUCUUUUCAUAUCUAAACAAAUAUGUAUGAAAGGAAAUACACUCAUGGUCCUGGUGCUAGAUUUAAUGUUUUAAACUUUCCAUUGUUUGGAAUUUCCUGUUUAGUGCCUUGAAAAUAAAACUUCCAUUACUGA